rnacentral:rRNA from 1 species
CGGCGAGUGAAGCGGCAACAGCUCAAAUUUGAAAUCUGGCCCCCCCCGGGGGGCCCGAGUUGUAAUUUGCAGAGGAUGCUUUGGGCGAGGCGCCUUCCGAGUUCCCUGGAACGGGACGCCACAGAGGGUGAGAGCCCCGUCUGGUCGGACGCCGAGCCUCUGUAAAGCUCCUUCGACGAGUCGAGUAGUUUGGGAAUGCUGCUCAAAAUGGGAGGUAUAUGUCUUCUAAAGCUAAAUACCGGCCAGAGACCGAUAGCGCACAAGUAGAGUGAUCGAAAGAUGAAAAGCACCUUGAAAAGGGGGUUAAACAGUACGUGAAAUUGUUGAAAGGGAAGCGCUCGUGACCAGACUUGGGGCGGGCGGAUCAGCCGGCGUUCUCGCCGGCGCACUCCGCCCGUCCCAGGCCAGCAUCAGUUCGCGCCGGGGGACAAAGGCGGCGGGAACGUGGCUCCCCAGGGAGUGUUAUAGCCCGCCGCGCCAUGCCCCGGGGGCGGACUGAGGGCCGCGCAUCACUGCAAGGAUGCUGGCGUAAUGGUCACCAGCGACCCGUCUUGAAACACGGGCCAAGGAGUCGUCCUCGUAUGCGAGUGUUCGGGUGUCAAACCCCUACGCGGAAUGAAAGUGAACGUGGGUGAGAGCUUCGGCGCAUCAUCGACCGAUCCUGAUGUUCUCGGAUGGAUUUGAGUAGGAGCAUACGGGGCCGGACCCGAAAGAAGGUGAACUAUGCCUGUGUAGGGUGAAGCCAGAGGAAACUCUGGUGGAGGCUCGCAGCGGUUCUGACGUGCAAAUCGAUCGUC